GACGAACGCUGGCGGCGUGCUUAACACAUGCAAGUCGAACGAGUGGGAACGGGUGAGUAAUACGUGGGUAACCUCCCAUCAGAGGGGAUAACACUUGGAAACAGGUGCUAAACCGAUACUGAUGGAUGGACCCGCGGUGCAUUAGCUAGUUGGUGAGGUAACGGCUCACCAAGGCCACGAUGCAUAGCCGACCUGAGAGGGUGAUCGGCCACACUGGGACUGAGACACGGCCCAGACUCCUACGGGAGGCAGCAGUAGGGAAUCUUCGGCAAUGGACGAAAGUCUGACCGAGCAACGCCGCGUGAGUGAAGAAGGUUUUCGGAUCGUAAAACUCUGUUGUUAGAGAAGCGGUAUCUAACCAGAAAGCCACGGCUAACUACGUGCCAGCAGCCGCGGUAAUAC
rnacentral:rRNA from 1 species